CCUACGGGUGGCAGCAGUGGGGAAUAUUGCACAAUGGGGGAAACCCUGAUGCAGCGACGCCGCGUGAGUGAAGACGUAUUUAGGUAUGUAAAGCUCUAUCAGCAGGGAAGAAAAUGACGGUACCUGAUCAAGAAGCCCCGGCUAACUACGUGCCAGCAGCCGCGGGAAUACGUAGGGGGCCAGCGUUAUUCGGAUUUACUGGGUGGAAAGGGUGCGUAGACGGCAGUACAAGUCUGGAGGGAAAUGGCGGGGCUUAACCCCGGAACUGCUUUGGAAACUGUGCAGCUAGAGUGCAGGAGAGGUAAGUGGAAUUCCUAGUGUAGCGGUGAAAUGCAUAGAUAUUAGGAGGAACUCCAGUGGCGAAGGCAGCUUACUGGACUGUAACUGACGUUGAGGCUCGAAAGCGUGGGGAGCGAACAGGAUUAGAUACCCUUGUAGUC
rnacentral:rRNA from 1 species